rnacentral:rRNA from 1 species
UACGGAGGGGGCGAGCGUUGUUCGGAGUGACUGGGCGUAAAGAGCACGUAGGCGGUGUUGUAAGUCAUUAGUCAAAGACUAGAGCUCAACUUUAGUAAGGCUAGUGAUACUAUAAUACUAGAGUAUCAGAGAGGAUUGCAGAAUUCCUGGUGUAGCGGUGAAAUGCGUAGAUAUCAGGAGGAAUACCGGUAGCGAAGGCGGCGAUCUGGCUGGAAACUGACGCUGAGGUGCGAAAGCGUGGGUAGCAAACAGG